GGGAAAAGGAAUCAAGGAACCCAGGUUUUUAGCUUGAGCCAACUUGGGUGGAUGAUGAUGAGAAACGCUGGAGGAGGAACAUAGUCGGGAGCUUGGUUGGAGCUUGUUUGAAACAUCCCAGAAGAGAGCUCGAGCCGGCAGUUGGAGGUAAGCAUCUGCAGCUCAGGAGAAAGUCCGGGCUAGACUCACGCGUUUGGAGUCCUGAGCACAGAUGGGAUUUCUAGCCCGAGGGUUGGGUGAGCUCUCUGCGAAAUAAGUGUUGAUCUCUAUUCUCAUAGAUGAGGAAAUGUCCCAGAGAGGCUAAGUGACUGGGCCAAAGUGAAACAAACAGUGCGUGGCCCAGGGCAGGAACAGCACGGCCGUGUCUGGGAGGCACAGGAAGCCUGUGGGGGCUCUUCGGAGGGACAGCAGGGGUAGCUGGUUGGAGCCUAAUUCUGUCAGGCCUCGAAUCCAGCUCAGUCUGGGGAGCCAAGGUAGCGCCUGAGAUGGACUGCCUAGAGGACGUGCCGGGCUGACUUGGAGGACUCCUUCUCCCUUCAGGGGUGGCAGGAGGGGAGACGCCCUCCUCUCCACACAGGCCUCAGGUAAGGGACAAGUGGCGCAGACAACAACUGGUUUGUCCUCAACUCCAGUCUUACCUACCUUCCCAAGCCCAGCUCUGCCGUGAGACUAGUGUGCACAGCCCAUCCAACUCUGAGCAGACUCCCCAAGAAUCUCAGAAUCCCAGAACCUUAAGAGGAUUGCCUAAUUCCUGUAUUACUGCAUUUAUCUUCAGGAGUGACUUGGUUAAUACGUUAUGUCCGCCAGCCACACAAACUGAAGGCACCUUUGACCUACCCUUU